CAUUAUGAAGCUAUGUAAGCGUUAACCUUUUAAGUUAAAGACAGGAUAUGAAUUGUCCCAUAAUGA
rnacentral:tRNA from 1 species